rnacentral:rRNA from 1 species
GAUGAACGCUGGCGGCGUGCCUAAUACAUGCAAGUCGAGCGAACAGACGAGGAGCUUGCUCCUCUGACGUUAGCGGCGGACGGGUGAGUAACACGUGGAUAACCUACCUAUAAGACUGGGAUAACUUCGGGAAACCGGAGCUAAUACCGGAUAAUAUAUUGAACCGCAUGGUUCAAUAGUGAAAGACGGUUUUACUGUCACUUAUAGAUGGAUCCGCGCCGCAUUAGCUAGUUGGUAAGGUAACGGCUUACCAAGGCAACGAUGCGUAGCCGACCUGAGAGGGUGAUCGGCCACACUGGAACUGAGACACGGUCCAGACUCUUACGGGAGGCAGCAGUAGGGAAUCUUCCGCAAUGGGCGAAAGCCUGACGGAGCAACGCCGCGUGAGUGAUGAAGGUCUUCGGAUCGUAAAACUCUGUUAUUAGGGAAGAACAAAUGUGUAAGUAACUAUGCACGUCUUGACGGUACCUAAUCAGAAAGCCACGGCUAACUACGUG